ACAGCAAUGACAGCAUGAGCAAGAGUGAUAACAACAACCUCUGCUUUAGUAGUAAGUGAGGAAGCACUUGUUCUUGUAACUUCAGAAUAAUGUCCUGACACAGUAAUCAAGGAUGUUUUGAAAAGGCUGUCCUUGUUGACAACAGAAGAAGAGAACUGUUUCAAAUCAUCUGGGUCAGCCAUGAUCUACUGAACGUUCCUACUGCCACAGUCCUUCAAGUGCAGUUUCUUUAUUUUGUUCAAGGAUUGGUGACUGGGAAGCCCAUAGUUAUUUCCUAAAAUUAAAUACUAAUAAAUUUCAUAUCUGAAUUAUUGCUUCUUCAGUAAAGUGAUAUGUUAUUAAAUGUUGAUGCAACAACUUAACCAAGAUCCUCUUUAACCUCUACAGACACAUAUGCACACACACAUGGAUAACUUGUCAUCCCGAAGUGGGCUUUAUAUUUACUUAUGACUUCAAAUAGGUGGACCACAGUGGCCUUUUCCCAAGAGCUGGUCAGGGCACGGACAGUUUAUAGUCUUUCCAGAGCAAGUGGCAAGCAAAGAAGAAACCCGAGCUGAAAAAAACAAAAGGCACAAAGCCAAUUGGAAAAAUCAAACUGACCCCUGUCACUCUCUCUCUCUGCAACUGGCGUAAUCUUAAUUGAAUCAGCCUUACAGAAAGACGUUGACACUGAGAGAUUGCACAAACCUGGGAGGCCUUGGCAGGCCAGUGGAAGUACUGGGAAAAAAAGGAAAAAAAAAAUUGCCCCAUCUAUUCAUUAAUGUGUCCCCCAAUGUCCCACUUCCCAAUUUUUCACUGUCUCAGGGAGAUAAUCCUUGCCACCCCACCCCCAACAGCCAAUUUGAUCAUUCACUGUGGUCCACUGAGGUGGACAAUUUUUUCAACUAUGUUCACCUGAAACAACUAGACAGGGCUACGUCUAGGAGGACACCUCCUAAUGCUAUCGUCUUGUGUCAUUUUUGGGUCAUAACUAUAAAAACAGUAACUAACUUAUUGUAGCUUUAGAUAAGCAACAAAGAAUAGUAAGGACUGUGGUUUGGGAUUAAGUGUUUAUAUUUUUGAGCACAUCAUGAUAUUUUAAAUAUUGUAGUCAGUAGUGAAUGCUUACUUAUAGGAAGAUCAGCAUCCUCAGCUAUGUGCCAUGCAUACUUUCUUAAAAAUGGGGUAUUUAUGGCAAUACUUCAAUAAAAUUAAAAAUUUGUACCUUUUUACUGUCUUUGGCAAUUUAGUCCUAAUGUCUAGAGUUUGACUAUGUUAAAAGAGGUUUGGGAUAUGUUA
ensembl:lncRNA